rnacentral:lncRNA from 1 species
GCUGGGUGCGCAGUUGUCCAAAGAAGGGUUGAGCAACUGGAAACGGGGACAUCAGCUGCUGCGCGGGCGCGCGCCGCAGGCCUUGGCGGCUCACAGUCGAGUGCGCGGGUUUUAUCUCGUCGCGGGUCCCGGGGGAGGGACGCCCCCCUCCGACCAGCUAGCAGCAGGCGCGCCGUAAACACGCUACGGGGACGCGAGGAUAAAGAGACAGACUCACGGGCUGGCGGAACACCCGGGUGUCGGGCGAGGCUACCGGUGGGGAGGGGGUUCUGUGGCAGGCUCGGCGACCCCCCCGCCCUGGCGUUAAGGCCCCAUUGGGAGACCUUCCUCUCUCCUCUCACUGGUCUCCACCUCGGGAAUUACGGACUCUGCCCCGAAGCCCGGGGUCUAGCGAUCGGGUGGGCGGGGGAGUGGUGCUCUGAGCGCGUCUCCGGGCGGGGGGCAAGUUCCCGGUGCCCUCGCCCCCUCGGGGCAGCGAAGGGGGUACAGACCGUGCUCCGAGGCAAGGCCGGCGAGGCCCCGGCCCUCUUGGGGCUCAGACGCAGGAGCCACAGCCCUGGGCUGGAGUGGAAACGCAGCCUCUGCAGGCUCCAGCAGGGGACAGGGGUGGAGAUGGGGGCGGAGGAGUCGGGGGCUCGGAAGGGGACAAAGAGCCGCCCGGCCUCGGGGGAGAGCGACCUCCGAGUCAGAGUCCCAUUGUUCGUCGUGUCUCCGACUACGCUGGACUCUGGUGCCCCCGGGAGGGAGAAGCGGAGCUGCCCUCCGCCUCUCGGGCAUUUGUUUAUUUGGGGCGGGGGAGGCCGGGCGGAGGACGCGGGCUUGGGAGGGGGCUCGGCGUCCAUUUCCGCGCGUCUCCUUUAAGGAAAGCCCUGCCCUACCUUUCCCACCGUUCCCCUCCCCGCAGCCGUACCUGCAUUUUAAAAGCGCCCUGUAGCCCGGGGAUUGGCCGAGGCCGCGUCCUCCGGGCGCAGAAACUUGAACCUCCGGGAGGGGAGGGGGGUGGUGGAAGCCGGGUGGCUGGACUGUACCAUCUCCUCGGCGUCCCCCGCGUGCGCCCCGCCCCUCCCACACACCCCCGG